GCGCUCGCUUCAGCAGCGCAUAUACUAAAAUUGGAAUGAUACAGAGAAGAUUAACAUGGCCCCUGCGCAAGGAUGACACGCAGAUUCGUGAAGCGUUCCAUAAGUUU
rnacentral:snRNA from 1 species